rnacentral:rRNA from 1 species
AGCCCAAACCAACAAGCUUGCUUGUUGGGGUUGUAGGACACUCUAUACGGAGUUACAAAAGAACAUGUUAGACGAAUCAUCUGGAAAGAUGAAUCAAAGAAGGUAAUAAUCCUGUAGUCGAAAACAUAUUCUCUCUUGAGUGGAUCCUGAGUACGACGGAGCACGUGAAAUUCCGUCGGAAUCUGGGAGGACCAUCUCCUAAGGCUAAAUACUCUCUAGUGACCGAUAGUGAACCAGUACCGUGAGGGAAAGGUGAAAAGUACCCCGGAAGGGGAGUGAAAGAGAACUUGAAACCGUGUGCUUACAAGUAGUCAGAGCCCGUUAAUGGGUGAUGGCGUGCCUUUUGUAGAAUGAACCGGCGAGUUACGAUCUGAUGCAAGGUUAAGCAGCAAAUGUGGAGCCGCAGCGAAAGCGAGUCUGAAUAGGGCGUUGAGUAUUUGGUCGUAGACCCGAAACCAGGUGAUCUACCCUUGGUCAGGUUGAAGUUCAGGUAACACUGAAUGGAGGACCGAACCGACUUACGUUGAAAAGUGAGCGGAUGAACUGAGGGUAGCGGAGAAAUUCCAAUCGAACUUGGAGAUAGCUGGUUCUCUCCGAAAUAGCUUUAGGGCUAGCCUCAAGUGAUGAUUAUUGGAGGUAGAGCACUGUUUGGACGAGGGGCCCCUCUCGGGUUACCGAAUUCAGACAAACUCCGAAUGCCAAUUAAUUUAACUUGGGAGUCAGAACAUGGGUGAUAAGGUCCGUGUUCGAAAGGGAAACAGCCCAGACCACCAGCUAAGGUCCCAAAAUAUAUGUUAAGUGGAAAAGGAUGUGGCGUUGCCCAGACAACUAGGAUGUUGGCUUAGAAGCAGCCAUCAUUUAAAGAGUGCGUAAUAGCUCACUAGUCGAGUGACACUGCGCCGAAAAUGUACCGGGGCUAAACAUAUUACCGAAGCUGUGGAUUGUCCUUUGGACAAUGGUAGGAGAGCGUUCUAAGGGCGUCGAAGCAUGAUCGCAAGGACAUGUGGAGCGCUUAGAAGUGAGAAUGCCGGUGUGAGUAGCGAAAGACGGGUGAGAAUCCCGUCCACCGAUUGACUAAGGUUUCCAGAGGAAGGCUCGUCCGCUCUGGGUUAGUCGGGUCCUAAGCUGAGGCCGACAGGCGUAGGCGAUGGAUAACAGGUUGAUAUUCCUGUACCACCUAGUAUCGUUUUAAUCGAUGGGGGGACGCAGUAGGAUAGGCGAAGCGUGCUGUUGGAGUGCACGUCCAAGCAGUAAGGCUGAGUGUUAGGCAAAUCCGGCACUCAUAAGGCUGAGCUGUGAUGGGGAGAGGAAAUUGUUUCCUCGAGUCGUUGAUUUCACACUGCCGAGAAAAGCCUCUAGAUAGAUAACAGGUGCCCGUACCGCAAACCGACACAGGUAGUCAAGAUGAGAAUUCUAAGGUGAGCGAGCGAACUCUCGUUAAGGAACUCGGCAAAAUGACCCCGUAACUUCGGGAGAAGGGGUGCUCUUUAGGGUUCACGCCCAGAAGAGCCGCAGUGAAUAGGCCCAAGCGACUGUUUAUCAAAAACACAGGUCUCUGCUAAACCGUAAGGUGAUGUAUAGGGGCUGACGCCUGCCCGGUGCUGGAAGGUUAAGAGGAGUGGUUAGCUUCUGCGAAGCUACGAAUCGAAGCCCCAGUAAACGGCGGCCGUAACUAUAACGGUCCUAAGGUAGCGAAAUUCCUUGUCGGGUAAGUUCCGACCCGCACGAAAGGCGUAACGAUUUGGGCACUGUCUCAACGAGAGACUCGGUGAAAUCAUAGUACCUGUGAAGAUGCAGGUUACCCGCGACAGGACGGAAAGACCCCGUGGAGCUUUACUGUAGCCUGAUAUUGAAAUUCGGCACAGCUUGUACAGGAUAGGUAGGAGCCUUUGAAACGUGAGCGCUAGCUUACGUGGAGGCG